CGUGGUAUCUACCUACAUAUUUUUCGCAACAUAUUUUGCAACACAAGGUUCAUAAGCCAAACAUGCUCAAGUCCUAUUUUGGAACAAAACGGUACACGGGAAAAAUUGAAUCAUGUGAAAGGGUGUACAUUCCAAUUAAUGAUGAGGGUGAACAUUGGUAUAUGUGUGUGGUAUACAUGCGACAACAAGUGGUAUAUAUCCUUGAUCUGUAUAUAUCAAGAAGAAGUAGAACUCGGCCAACUCAAGU